CGCGGCCUAUCAGCUUGUUGGUGAGGUAACGGCUCACCAAGGCAUCGACGGGUAGCUGGUCUGAGAGGACGAUCAGCCACACUGGGACUGAGACACGGCCCAGACUCCUACGGGAGGCAGCAGUAGGGAAUCUUGCGCAAUGGGCGAAAGCCUGACGCAGCAACGCCGCGUGGGGGAUGAAUGCCUUCGGGUUGUAAACCCCUUUCAGCAGGGACGAAAAUGACGGUACCUGCAGAAAAAGCACCGGCUAACUACGUGCCAGCAGCCGCGGUAAUACGUAGGGUGCAAGCGUUGUCCGGAAUUAUUGGGCGUAAAGAGCUCGUAGGCGGUUUGUCGCGUCUGCUGUGAAAAUCCGAGGCUCAACCUCGGACCUGCAGUGGGUACGGGCAAACUAGAGUGCGGUAGGGGAGAUUGGAAUUCCUGGUGUAGCGGUGGAAUGCGCAGAUAUCAGGAGGAACACCAAUGGCGAAGGCAGAUCUCUGGGCCGUAACUGACGCUGAGGAGCGAAAGCGUGGGGAGCGAACAGGAUUAGAUACCCUGGUAGUCCAUGCCGUAAACGUUGGGCACUAGGUAUGGGAUCAUAUCAACGGAUUCCGUGCCGUAGCUAACGCAUUAAGUGCCCCGCCUGGGGAGUACGG
rnacentral:rRNA from 1 species